GGACGAACGCUGGCGGCGUGCUUAACACAUGCAAGUCGAACGGAAAGGCCCUGCUUUUGUGGGGUGCUCGAGUGGCGAACGGGUGAGUAACACGUGAGUAACCUGCCCUUGACUUUGGGAUAACUUCAGGAAACUGGGGCUAAUACCGGAUAGGAGCUCCUGCUGCAUGGUGGGGGUUGGAAAGUUUCGGCGGUUGGGGGUGGACUCGCGGCUUAUCAGCUUGUUGGUGGGGUAGUGGCUUACCAAGGCUUUGACGGGUAGCCGGCCUGAGAGGGUGACCGGCCACAUUGGGACUGAGAUACGGCCCAGACUCCUACGGGAGGCAGCAGUGGGGAAUAUUGCACAAUGGGCGGAAGCCUGAUGCAGCAACGCCGCGUGCGGGAUGACGGCCUUCGGGUUGUAAACCGCUUUCGCCUGUGACGAAGCGUGAGUGACGGUAAUGGGUAAAGAAGCACCGGCUAACUACGUG
rnacentral:rRNA from 1 species